UACAGAGGGUGCGAGCGUUAAUCGGAAUUACUGGGCGUAAAGCGCGCGUAGGCGGCUUUGCAAGUCGGGUGUGAAAUCCCCAGGCUUAACCUGGGAACUGCAUUUGUGACUGCAUGGCUAGAGUACGGUAGAGGGGGAUGGAAUUCCGCGUGUAGCAGUGAAAUGCGUAGAUAUGCGGAGGAACACCGAUGGCGAAGGCAAUCCCCUGGACCUGUACUGACGCUCAUGCACGAAAGCGUGGGGAGCAAACGAGG
rnacentral:rRNA from 1 species